rnacentral:lncRNA from 1 species
CCAUGGCCAGCUUCAUGCAUCCUCUCAAACAUUCCCUACGAUAGAAACAACUAUAGCUAAACAUAUAGCUUAGUGGUGCCAAAACUAUAGGUUCGGAGCCCUCAGAUUCACCAAGCUACAUUUCUCAAGUCAUGGGCAACAAAAUUGAACAUAAUAAAUAAAUCAAGUAAACAAUAUGUAAAGAGUAUCAAGUUCAAUAUUUAAAGAUCCAAAUGUCAAGAACGCUCGUAGCACCAUUUUCCAAGAGAUUCAACAAUAAGGCUCGCCCAAUAUAUACAUCAUGUUGUCACACCAAGCACAAACAAAUAUCAAGAAGGGCCGACGCCGUGUAUCAAGAAGGGUCAAAGCUCAAUAAUCAAGAGAACCAAGAACCAUAUUAAAAAUGACUUUCUAGUUCGUACUUAAAAUGGACAACUUCCAUUCUUAAGACGGACUAAAAAUCCAGAGUCAAGAUGGCAAAUGAUCUGAAUCAAGAGGCAUGCCAAUAGUGACAAAGUCACUGCCACAAGAAGGACAAGGUCCCAACAAGAGUACCAAGUGAUCAAACAAUCCGUACAAGUGGGCGAGUUACAAAAGCGUCUUUAAUGUCUUAAAUGAUACCAACACGACAAUGCAAAGUGACAAGGGGUAACCAAGGUACUAAGAUAAACUUUCUGAUAUACCAGCAGUUAAAAGAGUGCAAGUACAAGUUUAUACACAAACCUCAGUGCUUUAGCAAAGAAACAGUCCAACACAACUUCGCGAGUUCAGACCGUAGACCAACCAACGUUUCAAGGUCCUCAACUUGUUCAUGGGUAUAUACAACCUUAAAAAUACAAUUAAAUAACUUCUUUAAUUCCUAGCAGCUCAAUAAUGUUUAUGUAAAACAGGAUUAUCAUCACAAGUAAGCUUAGCCUGUACAAAUACGACUAUGCUCCCAAAACAGAAAUUCUGCCCAGCCUAGUACCUCAUGUCGCAACUUAUAUUUGAAAAGGAAAACGGAAACAAUGGAGUGUAUACUCUUCAUGAAAUAUGUAGGUACAUCUCUUAAGGUUGCAAAAAAUCAAGAAUCACCGCAAAAUAUAUUUUGUACAAAGAGAUAUCAUCAGAACACUAACAGUUGAUCAUACAGGAUUUCUAAUUCCGAAAUCUGGACAAAACUUGUCAUAUGUGGUGUCCCAUAUUUCGAAUCCAUAACAGCUAAAUUAGAGUUUUACAUAAACAUAAGAGUUGUAGUUCUACGAAAUAGCUUUCCAAAUCAUAUUUAUUCACUGUAAACUAAGUUCUAGAGAAUGAGAUAUGCAUAAAAUACCAAACACUACCCAGCUCAGAAACAUAUUUUGUCACUUACCAAAAAGAAGUGCGUGUCUCGAAUUCCAGCCAAAAGGGCCAAGUUUUUCUCUUGUGAUUUUGAAGAACAACUUGUUAGAUAAUGUUCUAAGGUUC